UGCGCGAGUCAUUGGGACUUUCUAAACNUAAAGGCGUAAUGAAAGUGAAGGCCCGCCUUGCGCGGGCCGAGGGAGGAUGGGNGGCGUCACGAUGCCGCCCCGCACUCCCGGGGCGUCUCAUUCUCAUUGCGAGAAGAGGCGCACCCAGAGCGUACACGCUGGGACCCGAAAGAUGGUGAACUAUGCCUGGUCAGGACGAAGUCAGGGGAAACCCUGAUGGAGGUCCGUAGCGAUUCUGACGUGCAAAUCGAUCGUCGGAACUGGGUAUAGGGGCGAAAGACUAAUCGAACCAUCUAGUAGCUGGUUCCCUCCGAAGUUUCCCUCAGGAUAGCUGGCGCUCGCUUUGCGAGUCUCAUCCGGUAAAGCGAAUGAUUAGAGGCAUUGGGGUCGAAACGGCCUCAACCUAUUCUCAAACUUUAAAUGGGUGAGAUCUCCGGCUUGCUCGAACUUGAAGCCGUGAGAUAUUNACAAGGAUCAGAGUGCCAAGUGGGCCACUUUUGGUAAGCAGAACUGGCGCUGUGGGAUGAACCAAACGCAGAGUUAAAGCGCCUAAAUCGACGCUUAUGGGAUACCAUGAAAGGCGUUG
rnacentral:rRNA from 1 species